rnacentral:rRNA from 1 species
UGGGGAAUAUUGGACAAUGGGCGAAAGCCUGAUCCAGCCAUGCCGCGUGAGUGACGAAGGCCUUAGGGUUGUAAAGCUCUUUUGGCGGGGAAGAUAAUGACGGUACCCGCAGAAUAAGCUCCGGCUAACUUCGUGCCAGCAGCCGCGGUAAUACGAAGGGAGCUAGCGUUGUUCGGAAUCACUGGGCGUAAAGCGCACGUAGGCGGAUUUGUCAGUCAGGGGUGAAAUCCCGGGGCUCAACCUCGGAACUGCCCUUGAUACAGCAAGUCUUGAGUUCGAGAGAGGUGGGUGGAAUUCCUAGUGUAGAGGUGAAAUUCGUAGAUAUUAGGAAGAACACCGGUGGCGAAGGCGGCCCACUGGCUCGAUACUGACGCUGAGGUGCGAAAGCGUGGGGAGCAAACAGGAUUAGAUACCCCCGUAGUCCCUGAGCGGGCUGGCAAGGCGCAU